GUAUAAAGCCCAAUAGCCCAACAAAGUAAUCAUAAUUGUGUUCGACGCGAAGACAUCGAAGUUCAGCGUUCGUCUCUCUUCACUGUUCAGUUCUGACCUCUGAUCUUCAUCACUGAAACUGAAACGGUCGGAAUUAUGUGUUCUUCGUGUGGUGUUAAAUCCUUAUUAAUUCAAUCCACCAUGAUGAGGCUUUGAAUGCGUGCUAGGCUUUGUUGAGUCGGUGGAUCUACGAGUAUAAAUAAAUCAGUAUUUAUAAAAUUUGGCCAACUUCGUUCUUCUCCUCCCUGAUUUGAAGCGGGCCGUUGUCCCAAUCUCCCUCAGCUAUUCUUAUAUCAUCCCACCGAAACGGUUACUGUAGAUAACACGGACAUUGAACACCGCCUCUGUAACUUAUGAUGCUCUCAUUCAAUCGGCCUAAUUAUUUCAUUCACAUCACUAGAAGAAAGAAUUGGAUCACAGUGAAACUAAACGGCGCCGUCGGCAAUUUCCUCCUCCUCCUGGCUUACCCAUCAUCUGGAACUUGCACCAGCUAGGCGAAAAACCACAUCAGUCUUUAUGGAAACUCACGAAGAAGUAUGAUCCUGUAAUGUUACUGACACUUGAAAGAGUUUCAACAGUUAUAGUUUCCUCCCCUGAAACAGCAUGAAGGUCGUACAGAUCUCCCAUGAAUGGUGUGAUCUUAGAAAUGGUAAGAACCCCGUCGAAUGUAACAUAUUACACAUCCAUUCACUAGACGUAUCAAAAAUGAUGGAUUUAAGUUACAAUUCAGUGGGUGCGUAAGCAGGACUUGGAGCAUCCAUGGCUGAGUAUAAUGUGGGACAUCAGCCACUGAGCCACCAUGGCUUUCAGUCAACUACAUAAUCACAAAAAGGCCACCAGAAAGUUAAGCAAACCAAACAAAAAGAUAUUGCAAAAGCAAUGUUUAACUUUUUGCUUCUAACCAAAUAAAACAGAUCACUUACGUAUAUAGAUACUUAAACUUACGUGUGUGACCAUAUGUCUGAAACAAAAUUUAAGAUAUAAGAACUUAUAUUGUAUAACAAAGUGAAAUUUUACGGUUAACAAAUAACAGAUAUCCCACAAGGUUAAGGGGUUUUGCAGAUUGUUCAAGGAUUUUCAGAUGAACCAAAAUUUGCUACUCGCUUAAAGCUUUCCGUUGUUACCAUGAAGCAUGUGUUGUAAUGAUUUAAAACAGUCUGGACUUACAUAUUUUAUGUUGCUAUUUGUAACUGAAGUUUGUUAGUACGU